UACAGAGGUCUCAAGCGUUGUUCGGAUUCAUUGGGCGUAAAGCGCGUGUAGGCGGUUGUCCAAGUUGGAUGUGAAAGCCUUGAGCUUAACUCAAGAAAUGCAUUCAGGACUGGAUGACUAGAGGACCGGAGAGGAUAGUGGAAUUCCCAGUGUAGUGGUGAAAUACGUAGAGAUUGGGAAGAACACCAGUGGCGAAGGCGGCUAUCUGGACGGUUUCUGACGCUAAGACGCGAAAGCGUGGGGAGCAAACAGG
rnacentral:rRNA from 1 species